CCUACGGGUGGCAGCAGUGGGGAAUAUUGCACAAUGGGCGAAAGCCUGAUGCAGCAACGCCGCGUGAGUGAUGAAGGCCUUCGGGUCGUAAAGCUCUGUCCUCAAGGAAGAUGAUGACGGUACUUGUGGAGGAAGCCCCGGCUAACUACGUGCCAGCAGCCGCGGUAAUACGUAGGGGGCUAGCGUUAUCCGGAAUUACUGGGCGUAAGGGGUGCGUAGGUGGUUUCUUAAGUCAGAGGUGAAAGGCUAGGGCUCAACCGUAGUAAGCCUUUGAAACGGGGAAACUUGAGUGCAGGCGAGGAGAGUGGAAUUCCUAGUGUAGCGGUGAAAUGCGUAGAUAUUAGGAGGAACACCAGUGGCGAAGGCGGCUCUCUGGACUGUAACUGACACUGAGGCACGAAAGCGUGGGGAGCAAACAGGAUUAGAUACCCUGGUAGUC
rnacentral:rRNA from 1 species